CAAGAGCCAAGAAGAACCGACGCCGGAUUCUGGGAAGGUGAAAAUAGCAAACUCCAUUCACCUGCAGGAAGAUCCAGUUUUUACAUUGGUGGCAGAGGUCACUUAAGAGCCAAGAAGAACUGAUGCCGGAUUCUGGGAAGGUGAAAAUAGCCGACUCCAUUCACCUGCAGGAAGAUCCCGUUUUUACAUUGGUGGCAGAGGUCACUCAAGAGCCAAGAAGAACCAACGCUGGAUUCUGGGAAGGUAAAAAUAGCAAACUCGAUUCACCUGCAGGAAGAUCCAGUUUUUACAUUGGUGGCAGAGGUGGGAUUUCAAGACUUUGUGUUAUUCUAAGUUGUUCGAAUUGCAUUGAUUAGAGCCAAGUGCUCUCUUACCUUAUGCUGUUAAUUGGUGAAGGUUUGACUUUAUUCCAACACCAUCUCCUCUCAUUUAUAAUUUGGAAGUCCUCCUGUAACCCGUGAUUAAUAUUUAAAUAAUGCUCAGGUGAAUUUGGAAAACAACUGCAAUACAUUAUUAUUGAAUUUAUUUUUAUUUCUUGAAAAUGUUAUAGAAAUGAGGGCAUUUCCUUUAGGGUAAGGGAGUUAUGUAAGCAAUAGUUCAUUUUAGAGGAAGUCUUAAUAAAGUUUAUUGACUCAUUUGUUGACUCAUUUUGGUGUAGAAAUGAAGAGAAGUGGUUGGUGUAGCUCAGCAUUGUAUGUUAACCGUUGUGUCACUUAAUGAAUCAACAAAUAGUCCACAAACUUGGGUGACCAUCCCUUUUCUGAUUUCUACAUAUCGAGGACUCCCCUGCUACACUAUUGAGGUCACUCAAGAGCCAAGAAGAACCGACGGCAGAUUCUAGUAAGGUCAAAAUAGUGGACUCCGUUCACCUGCUCUUACAGAGGAUCCAGCUUUCACACUGGUGGCAGCGGUGGGAUUUAAAGACUUUGUGUUAUUCUAAGUUGUUUGAAUUGUAUUGAUUAGAGCCAAGUGCUCUCUUACCUUAUGCUAUUAAAUUGGUGAUUGGUUUUGACUUCACUAACCCCUCUCAUUUAAUUUGGAAAUUCUCCUUUAGCCCAUGAUUAAUGUUUAAACACUUUUAAGUAAAUUCUGAUAGCAUUUGAAUUGUAUUGUUUUUAAAUUUAUUAUUAUUACUUGAAAAUAUUAUAGAAAUGAGAGCAUUUCCUUUGGCGUAAGGG